rnacentral:rRNA from 1 species
UGAUUGAUGGUGCUUGCACCUGAUUGACGAUGGAUCACCAGUGAGUGGCGGACGGGUGAGUAACACGUAGGUAACCUGCCCCGGAGCGGGGGAUAACAUUUGGAAACAGAUGCUAAUACCGCAUAACAACAAAAGCCACAUGGCUUUUGUUUGAAAGAUGGCUUUGGCUAUCACUCUGGGAUGGACCUGCGGUGCAUUAGCUAGUUGGUAAGGUAACGGCUUACCAAGGCGAUGAUGCAUAGCCGAGUUGAGAGACUGAUCGGCCACAAUGGAACUGAGACACGGUCCAUACUCCUACGGGAGGCAGCAGUAGGGAAUCUUCCACAAUGGGCGCAAGCCUGAUGGAGCAACACCGCGUGAGUGAAGAAGGGUUUCGGCUCGUAAAGCUCUGUUGUUGGAGAAGAACGUGCGUGAGAGUAACUGUUCACGCAGUGACGGUAUCCAACCAGAAAGUCACGGCUAACUACGUGCCAGCAGCCGCGGUAAUACGUAGGUGGCAAGCGUUAUCCGGAUUUAUUGGGCGUAAAGCGAGCGCAGGCGGUUGCUUAGGUCUGAUGUGAAAGCCUUCGGCUUAACCGAAGAAGUGCAUCGGAAACCGGGCGACUUGAGUGCAGAAGAGGACAGUGGAACUCCAUGUGUAGCGGUGGAAUGCGUAGAUAUAUGGAAGAACACCAGUGGCGAAGGCGGCUGUCUGGUCUGCAACUGACGCUGAGGCUCGAAAGCAUGGGUAGCGAACAGGAUUAGAUACCCUGGUAGUCCAUGCCGUAAACGAUGAGUGCUAGGUGUUGGAGGGUUUCCGCCCUUCAGUGCCGGAGCUAACGCAUUAAGCACUCCGCCUGGGGAGUACGACCGCAAGGUUGAAACUCAAAGGAAUUGACGGGGGCCCGCACAAGCGGUGGAGCAUGUGGUUUAAUUCGAAGCUACGCGAAGAACCUUACCAGGUCUUGACAUCUUGCGCUAACCUUAGAGAUAAGGCGUUCCCUUCGGGGACGCAAUGACAGGUGGUGCAUGGUCGUCGUCAGCUCGUGUCGUGAGAUGUUGGGUUAAGUCCCGCAACGAGCGCAACCCUUGUUACUAGUUGCCAGCAUUAAGUUGGGCACUCUAGUGAGACUGCCGGUGACAAACCGGAGGAAGGUGGGGACGACGUCAGAUCAUCAUGCCCCUUAUGACCUGGGCUACACACGUGCUACAAUGGACGGUACAACGAGUCGCAAGCUCGCGAGAGUAAGCUAAUCUCUUAAAGCCGUUCUCAGUUCGGACUGUAGGCUGCAACUCGCCUACACGAAGUCGGAAUCGCUAGUAAUCGCGGAUCAGCAUGCCGCGGUGAAUACGUUCCCGGGCCUUGUACACACCGCCCGUCACACCAUGGGAGUUUGUAACGCCCAAAGUCGGUGGCCUAA